rnacentral:lncRNA from 1 species
AUAAAGCAAUGCAUGUUUCAUCCAUGAAAGUUCAUAAUCAUGAUAAUGCAAGUCAUAUAGAAAUAUUGCCAUUUAUCCAUACUUUAUAAAACAUACUCUCAGACGGAUGUGCUGCUAUGGUCACUAUAAUCCCGUGACAGGGCCUGUUAAUCUUAGUCGACUAAUUCUGUUAUUCGUUACCAACUUUAACCCAUUGGCAGAGGGCCUGUUAUUCUUUGGAUGCUAGCUCCAGGGUGUCGACUAGCCUCUAUUUUUAGAGGUGGUCAUAGCUA